rnacentral:rRNA from 1 species
AGUGAACGCUGGCGGUAGGCCUAACACAUGCAAGUCGAACGGCAGCACAGUAAGAGCUUGCUCUUACGGGUGGCGAGUGGCGGACGGGUGAGGAAUACAUCGGAAUCUACUUUUUCGUGGGGGAUAACGUAGGGAAACUUACGCUAAUACCGCAUACGACCUACGGGUGAAAGCAGGGGAUCUUCGGACCUUGCGCGAUUGAAUGAGCCGAUGUCGGAUUAGCUAGUUGGCGGGGUAGAGGCCCACCAAGGCGACGAUCCGUAGCUGGUCUGAGAGGAUGAUCAGCCACACUGGAACUGAGACACGGUCCAGACUCCUACGGGAGGCAGCAGUGGAGAAUAUUGGACAAUGGGCGCAAGCCUGAUCCAGCUAUACCGCGUGGGUGAAGAAGGCCUUCGGGUUGUAAAGCCCUUUUGUUGGGAAAGAAAAGCAGCAGGUUAAUACCCCGCUGUUCUGACGGUACCCAAAGAAUAAGCACCGGCUAACUUCGUG